AGAAAAUCGGGUCAUCGGCUCCGCCACAGUUAACGGCAUGUGCCGCCGCGAAAACGUCGCCGACACGUUCGCCUUUUAGCAAACUUUUUUAUGACUGUAUAGAACUCGCCGGCGUGAAAAGUUUUUCUACUGAAACCAGAUUGUUAGAUCAAUGGCGACAAAUGCUAAUUCAAAUCCAGAUCCUGUGAUGUUACCGGAGAUUGGACCUGACGGCAUAGCCAGAGAAUCACCGGUGAUUGCUUACACUGAAAAGAUAAUUGAAGAAGAACAGCUUCAAUUGAGAAAAUAUAUUGCUGAAAAUUAUUCCAAGAUCCGUGAUGUCGAAAAGGAAUU
rnacentral:misc_RNA from 1 species